UUUUUUCUUUUUUUAUCCAAGGAACUUAGUCAUGAAGGAGAGACCAGAACCGAAACUACCAGCCUCGAUCUGGAGCACGAUCGAAAACAGCCUCGAUCUAGAGCCGGUGGAGCCUGCCUCGAUCUGGAGAAUCCGACGAGAUCCAGCGAAAUCAGGCGAGAUCCGGCGAGAUUGAGGCAACCAGCAGUUGGAUCGGGACCCUGGGGCGGCG
rnacentral:lncRNA from 1 species